AACGAACGCUGGCGGCGCGCCUAAUACAUGCAAGUCGAGCGAGAAGACGUAGCAAUACGUUUGUAAAGCGGGAACGGGUGAGGAAUACAUGGGUAACCUACCCUCGAGUGGGGAAUAACUAGCCGAAAGGUUAGCUAAUACCGCGUACGCUCCUUGGACUUCGGUUCAGGGAGGAAAGCGAUACCGUGGGUAUCGCGCUCUUGGAUGGGCUCAUGUCCUAUCAGCUUGUUGGUGAGGUAACGGCUCACCAAGGCUUCGACGGGUAGCUGGUCUGAGAGGACGAUCAGCCACACUGGCACUGCGACACGGGCCAGACUCCUACGGGAGGCAGCAGUAAGGAAUAUUGCGCAAUGGGCGAAAGCCUGACGCAGCGACGCCGC
rnacentral:rRNA from 1 species